rnacentral:rRNA from 1 species
GUCUCUUUGUUUUUAUUUUAUAAAGAGUCUAACCUGCCCAGUGAUAUAUAUUUUAACGGCCGCGGUACUCUGACCGUGCAAAGGUAGCAUAAUCAUUUGCCUUAUAAUUGAAGGCUUGUAUGAAUGGUUUGACGAGAAUUAGCCUGUCUCUUAUAAAUUAAAAUGAAAUUGACUUUUAAGUGUAAAGGCUUAAAUUUUACUAAUAGACAAGAAGACCCUAUUGAGCUUUAAAGAUCUAUAAUAACAUACGAUGUAUUAGGAUAAGAUUAUAAGUUAUUAAAGUUUUUAGUUGGGGCGACUAUUGGAACAAAUGAAACUUCCAGAGUUUUAUAAUAUUUAAUAUUAGCUUAUUCAAAUUGAUCCAAAAUGUUUUGAUUAAUAGAAUAAGUUACCAUAGGGAUAACAGCAUAAUCUAUCUUAAGAGUUCUAAUCGAAAGAAAGGUUUGUGACCUCGAUGUUGGAUUAAAAUAUCCUAAGGGUGUAGAAGUUCUUAAGGGUUGGUCUGUUCGACCAUUAAAAUUUU